UGAGGAACAUGACCCUCGGCGGGGGAUAGCCGGCCCAACGGCCGGGUAAUACCGCGUACGACCACAUGGGGACAUCCCUGAGUGGUGAAAGCAGCAAUGCGCCGAUGGAGUGCCUCGCGGCCUAUCAGCUAGUUGGUGAGGUAACGGCUCACCAAGGCAACGACGGGUANCUGGUCUGAGAGGAUGGCCAGCCACAUUGGGACUGAGACACGGCCCAGACCUCUACGGGAG
rnacentral:rRNA from 1 species